UCAAAUUCAUUUUUUAUA
rnacentral:miRNA from 1 species